CCUAACCGUGCGAAGGUAGCGUAAUCACUUGUUCUUUAAAUGAGGACUAGUAUGAACGGCCCCACGAGGGCUGCACUGUCUCCUUUUUCUAAUCAAUGAAACUAAUCUCCCCGUGAAGAAGCGGGGAUAAUUCUAUAAGACGAGAAGACCCUAUGGAGCUUUAAACAACUGAAACACUUGCUUUUCCAUUAACCUCUUCCGAGUUCUUUACUUCACUCAAGCAUUUUUAUUUCUAGUUUUAGGUUGGGGUGACCACGGAGCAAAACUAAACCUCCACGAAGAAAUGAAUACUUUUUAAGCCACAAACUACUUUUUUAAGCAUCAACAAAUUGACCUUCAUUGACCCAAUAUAUUGAUCAACGAACCAAGUUACCCUAGGGAUAACAGCGCAAUCUACUUCAAGAGCUCGUAUCGACAAGUAGGUUUACGACCUCGAUGUUGGAUCAGGGU
rnacentral:rRNA from 1 species